rnacentral:tRNA from 1 species
GCCGGCGUAGCUCAGUUGGUAGAGCAGCUGAUUUGUAAUCAGAAGGUCGCGGGUUCGAUUCCUGCCGCCGGCACCA